rnacentral:rRNA from 1 species
GUGAGGAAUAUUGGUCAAUGGGCGGGAGCCUGAACCAGCCAAGUCGCGUGAAGGAAGACGGCCCUAUGGGUUGUAAACUUCUUUUAUAAGGGAAUAAAAGAUGGGACGUGUCCUGUUUUGCAUGUACCUUAUGAAUAAGCAUCGGCUAACUCCGUGCCAGCAGCCGCGGUAAUACGGAGGAUCCGAGCGUUAUCCGGAUUUAUUGGGUUUAAAGGGUGCGUAGGCGGCAUGCUAAGUCAGGGGUGAAAGACGGUGGCUCAACCAUCGCAGUGCCUUUGAUACUGGUGUGCUUGAAUGCGGCUGAGGUAGGCGGAAUGUGGCAAGUAGCGGUGAAAUGCAUAGAUAUGCCACAGAACACCGAUUGCGAAGGCAGCUUACCAAAGCGUAAUUGACGCUGAUGCACGAAAGCGUGGGGAUCGAACAGGAUUAGAUACCCUUGUAGUCC